ensembl:lncRNA
GUAAGUUGAUAAAGUGUAAUCUGAUUAAGAACAUGAGCACUCACAGUCCAGAAAUCUUUCUCAGUGCAUCACUUUGUUCCCUCUACUGCAAACUUAAAGCCAAGUGCAACACAGUGCUGCAGCACUUGGUCUGGAGCAUGUGAUGAAGUAAACCCUGUGAACCCACUUACAGCUUGCUGAGUUUUAUGUUGUCCUCCAGCGUUUUGUUUCCACAUUUUACUUCUUCAUUUUUGGAGUGGAAAACAGCUCUGAAAGCACUUUUCAAGAAAGCAACGUCAAUGAAAAGCCCAACUGUUUCCAAACAGGCAAUGUCCAGGCCCAAGUCACUGCAGAUGUCCAACCAAAGUCCGUCAUUAGAGGCCAGUUGCAUAUUAUCACCUCUCGGGAUGCGGAACUUGCACUGCUGAGCAAUGCCACCCUUUGUCCUUCCCAUGCUUUCCUCUGCAUCUGAUACACAGAGCUGCAUCUGGAACUAUUUGCUGGGGUUUAGAUAUUUUCUUAUUGUGCUGUGCCAUAGCUCAAAUCCGGUAGUAGCUCUUGUGCUUCCUUUCUGAGUGCCACUGAACCUUACCUGUGUUUUGCCCAUGUAUUACCAUGGUUUCUACCUGGAUAAAGGAACAGGGAAUCUGCCAGGAGGUCUAAUGCAAGAAUCCCUCCUGUAGAUGAGUGACUCAGAGUCACUGUCUUUAGCAUCCCUGCAACAAACCCUCCACCAGCAUUUCCUGCUCCUUACCUACCUAUAGGAAAGAUGAGACAACAAAUGCAAAAAGUAGGGGCUCAACUAAGUUACCUAUACAAGGGAAUCUUGUGUUAUUGGAGAUGCCUUAGACACAACUUCAACAUAGUAUGGCAGAUAUGACACAAGAUCUGUCUCCUCCCAGAGCAGUACUGGGCACCCACAUAAGGUAUCCAAAGGUAUUGAAUGACCUGUGUGUAGGCAGCUGAGUUCUCUCAAGGCUGCACAUAGAUCCUGUGCUAGUGCAGGAAACUGCACCUCAAUAUAAUAAGUUACAGCCCUUUGUUAUCAUUUUUACAUGAUUACACUUCAUGCAGCCAAAUCAGAGCUGUCCUUGAGAACAACCAGAAUGUCCUUUAUCCAAAUCCAGAUAUCCUAUUUUGUUUAUGAUACCAAAUUCAAUGGUACAUGGAACAGAGUAAUCUCUAAAAAAAGAUAAAUGCAGGUAAACGAUGGCUGGAAGAAGUCUGGGAUAAUCAAGCACCAGGCCAUAUCCCCUCUGAGGUUCAGCAACUGGAUUUCUACAUUUGUUAUAAGAAACAGAGUGCUAUUCCCUUACAGUCACAACAACAGCAGGACAACCAUAUGAGACUGAUUAUGUUACAAUGAGCCCUGCAAUGAAAGACAUUUCACUUCAUCUGUGGCUCCAGAGCAGACUUUCUGGAUGAAAUGAGAAAGCUGUCAUGGUCUGGAAACCAAGACAAUGAACUGGGACUCAGGAGACUAGAAUGGAUAUCUGGCUCAUAAGAUAUGACCAGAAGGGAGAAUUAAAUCUUAUUAUCCGAUAUGGAAAUCAUGGCUUAAAAAUUUAAACGGUCACCCUUCUCCUGAAUCCAAUAACAGCUGUUCACCUUGGGAACUUUUGUCAUAAAGUCAUUCAGUCCCAAAACAGGAGAGCCUCGUAGAUUGCUCCAGUGGUAAAUCACCAUCACUUCUUAAUUCUCAGCUAAAUUAAUAUAGCUUCAUAUUCCAAAGUUUGGAUUUAUUAGAUCCUUUUCUGCUAGGUAGAAGGAGUCUGUAAGUCCUGCAUGUUUUUUUGUUAGAAUACUUACACAUAAGCUUAGCAGUAUGCGAUUCUGAAUAAUAAAUGCCAAUUUUACACUCUUUCCUCAGUUACAAAUGAAUACAUCUCUCUUCUUUGUCUUUCUCACAGGCACUCUGUGGGGCUGCAACAUAUAGAAUAUCUGAAAUAGCUCUGGCAUAUAUGACAAAGGACCUACAAACCUCAGGUCUUCUGGGCUGGCAGCUGCAAUCCAAGCAGGGUACCUUGGGUCCUUUCAGAUGGCACCAGGCACCUCUGCUUAAGUAACAGACCUCCCUCUCUUAACUCACAUUGCAGACAUGGACAUUGUGGCUACUUUUUUUAUUAUUAUUAUUUUUUAAUAAUUUAUUUCAAAUAUGAGAAUCUGGAGCUAAAUGCAGCCUGAGGUGUCACUGUGAGAAGCUCAGCAUUGACUCUGUGCCCUUACUUGAUCUCUGGCCUUGUUUCUUGUGUACUUCUAGAAGGGAUGCCAAGCAGUGAGCAAAUGUUCUAAAAUAAUAUUCCUACCUGUCAAAAACAGCACUUCUGAGAUGUCAUUUUAAAUAGUAAAGGAUUCUUGAAAUGAAAAAGUCCAUGUCUUCCUGAAUAAAAUCAACAACUAGAACAACUCUGUCACCAGAGACCCAUGAGUGAAGCUUUCUUUCACUUUGGAUUUUAAAGACAGUAAAUUUAUGGUCGUACUUCACUACAACAGAACAUUAGAAGAAUAUUACAUUUGUUCUGGCCCAGUGCUGAAGCAUGAUGUCACUUUAAUAAAAUCAUGGUUUGCUGAUGUCCUGGAAUCUCUAAGAUUGUUUAUAGUUCCCAGAUGAUAUUCCCUGCAAAGGUGUUUUCUGUUUCAUUUUGGUCUGGUUUUGUUUUCAGUUUGGACUUUUCACAUUCUAGAGGCAUGCUUUUUAAAAUGAAAAAGGUAUUAUAUUCUCAAACUCAGAAGAAACCCUUUGUUUAGCAAAUACCCCUUGAUCAGGACCUUGCAUAACAAUGAACAUGUUGAGUGGAUCCAUAGAAAACUAUAUAAGUCUGAGGCUAAAUAUAUCCAUGCUGGAAUAAAUAACACUUGAUGAUUGUUUGGGCUCAUUAGCAGGUAGAAGAGUAACCCAAUGGGAAAUUUAUCUUUUUCAAGCAUUGUUUCCCUCAUCAGGUGCUACAUUCUGGAUAUGUAAAAGUCCUUGGAGUAUACAGUAGAA